GAAAUGCGAUAAGUAAUGUGAAUUGCAGAAUUCAGUGAAUCAUCGAAUCUUUGAACGCACCUUGCGCCCUUUGGCUAUUCUGAAGGGCAUGCCUGUUUGAGUAUCAUGAACACCUCAACUCUCAUGGUUCGCCAUGACGAGCUUGGACUUUUGGGGGUCUUGCUGGCCUAUGGUCGGCUCCUCUCAAAUGAAUCAGCUUGCCAGUGUUUGGUGGCAUCACGGGUGUGAUAACUAUCUACGCUUGUGGUUUCCCACCAGGUAACCUUCAGUGAUGGAGGUUCGCUGGGGCUCAUAAACGUCCCUCCGCAGCGAGGACAGCUUUUGAACGUUUGAUCUCAAAUCAGGUAGGACUACCCGCUGAACUUAA
rnacentral:misc_RNA from 1 species